rnacentral:rRNA from 1 species
UAAUACGUAGGGUGCGAGCGUUGUCCGGAAUUAUUGGGCGUAAAGAGCUCGUAGGCGGUCUGUCGCGUCGAUCGUGAAAACUUGGGGCUUAACCCUGAGCUUGCGGUCGAUACGGGCAUGACUGGAGUUCGGCAGGGGAGACUGGAAUUCCUGGUGUAGCGGUGAAAUGCGCAGAUAUCAGGAGGAACACCGGUGGCGAAGGCGGGUCUCUGGGCCGAUACUGACGCUGAGGAGCGAAAGCGUGGGGAGCGAACAGGAUUAGAUACCCUGGUAGUCCACGCCGUAAACGGUGGGCGCUAGGUGUGGGGGCCAUUCCACGGUCUCUGUGCCGUAGCUAACGCAUUAAGCGCCCCGCCUGGGGAGUACGGCCGCAAGGCUA